rnacentral:lncRNA from 1 species
GGAGACGCGGAAUGAGGAGUUGAGCCUUCACCUAAACUAGGACACAAAGGGUGUGUAUGGUUGGGAGUUAAAGUGGGACGGGAAGGGUCAAGCCUCUUUUGAUCCCACUAGAUGUUUGGUUUGAAGGAUGGAAUGGUCCCAGCAUGUUGUUUGGUUGGAGGGAUAAGAGAAAGAUGGGCAUGGAUGGCAACACAUGGUUGGCCCAGAUGUCAUAUGCCCAAGCAAAGGAUAAUAAAGGUAUAGCAAUGGUGGCCAAGUCACGUUUGGCCAGCACUUAGUAACCCAUCCCUCUUCGAAUUGUUUAGUUUUUUUGAAGGACGGUCUUAUGGGAACAGAAAGUGAUACUAAUAACAGCCUUGAACACUCAAUUAGUAAUGUGCACUCUCCAACAAAUGAUGUGCAUGUAAUAGAGUGCAUACUUUAUUUCUAAUGCACAUAGGUACAAUAAUAAUAUUUAGCUGCUUGGCCAAUGGUCUUGAAACCAAGAAAAUAAAGGAGGAUUGACAGUGAUCAAUCUGGAGGUGCAUAAUGCACUCCUCCUAAAACACCUUCAUAAUAUCUAGUGCGUGUUAGGGAGGAGAGUAGACCGGUUUUAGUACAAUGGCUAGAGUCUAUAAAUGAUUUAACUCCCAGAUCUCCCUUUUCA